rnacentral:rRNA from 1 species
GAUCAUGGCUCAGGAUGAACGCUAGCUACAGGCUUAACACAUGCAAGUCGAGGGGGCAGCAUGAACUUAGCUUGCUAAGUUUGAUGGCGACCGGCGCACGGGUGAGUAACACGUAUCCAACCUUCCGUUUACUCAGGGAUAGCCUUUCGAAAGAAAGAUUAAUACCUGAUAGUAUGGUGAGAUUGCAUGAUAACACCAUUAAAGAUUUAUUGGUAAACGAUGGGGAUGCGUUCCA